rnacentral:misc_RNA from 1 species
UCAUGAGUAACAUCAAACUAGUUUUUUUUACGCUCGUGUUGUAAUACAAUAGUUUCACAAGUACUUAGUAAAUACGGUAUCUAAAUUGUGCGACUGGUAUUAUUUAAUCGAGUACUAUACAAUACACAUGAAGACGACUAAAUCAGGGAGGAUAAUGAAAAGAAAAACGAAUUCUCAAGAGCUGAGGAAAAAAAAGGUUGGAACUGCUUUCACCACAAAGAGGUACGUUGAGGAGGACGAAAUAGCUUCCAAGAAGUUGCGAGAAGACGUAUCACCCUACGUGGAGGAGAGUUUCAGCGACGAUGAUGACAACCAUAUGGAUUACGAGGACUACAAACGCCACCAUCAACUGCAACGAUCUAAAGUCAACGAUAGGGUAAGCACGAGUUCGGUGGAGACCACCCACUUGGUGAGCGACCCAAUUGAGACUGAUGAGAUAAGUCCGGCCCAGGCUGCGGCGAUGGCAGCCAACCUUCCAGGAGCACGACGAAGAGGUCGUGGUCCGUCGAAGCGCCCGUGUCUCAAUAGAAACGCUCAGAUGGCUCGCGAAAAUCGACAACGCAAAAAAUUGUACCUGCAAAGCAUCGAGGAUAAGCAGAACGAGUACUAUGCGAAGAACAAGGCACUUGUUGGCAUCAUCGAAAAACAAAACAAGCAGAUACAGAGUCUCGCGAGUAACGUCAAUUAUUUUCAAGCCCUCGUUGCCAAUCAGUCCGAGAUCACGACUCUCCUUGUUGCUUUAAAUGAGGCCAUCAAAGCCCUCCACGGGAGUAAGGAUACUCUCUCCCUGUCCAAUAACAUUACCACUUCUCUACAAAAUGUCAAUAGGAAUUUGAAUAAAUUGUCCCAAAGUAAUCAAAGUUUUGCAUCGAAUGUAAGUAAUAAUAAUCAACCUGUGCCUCUAUCCGGAAUGCAAGGUUUUGGACAAAUUGCUCGAAAAACGAUGCCUCUUACAAACGCAGCUUCAGGGGUAUCGUCAAGUCUGUCUCCCACAACAAAGACUGAGGAACCAUCGAGCGUCGAGAGCUUAUUCCUAGACGAAGACACACAUAAACUCGAACAGUUGCCAGAGUCGCAUUCCUAUUGUAAGUAUAACGUAAUGAAUACGAGUACGGUGGGCCCUGGCAGCUGGAGUAUUAAUCAGAUGCCCACGACGCCGCUGAGCGAAGCGCAGUCAAAUUCUGUGGAUCACUGCGAAGCUAGUCUAUCCGAAACGGAUCUACAUGCGCUUUCAAAUAUUAACGUUGAUAACUUUUUAUUCAAUAACAUGGAUAAUCUACCAAACUCCUCCACGGAUAUGCAGUAGACGUGGAUUUUCAUAGAGAAACUAUUGCCUGCCUAUUCAGUAUUAUUUUUCUGCAACAGUUUCAGCUGACUUGAAGAGCCUUUUUGAGUUUCUCGGAGCUAUUAGUAAUACAUACACUUGCUGCUGACCGAUCUUAAGACUAUGAUAAUUUUAAUCAUGAGGAUGUUUAAAUCUGUCAAAGCCUUUUUUGCCUUAGAUCUGAAAAGUAUUUUCACAGGUCUUGGAAGAGUGAUAUCGAAUUUGUUAUGAAAACUUUGAGAUCCUGUGCAUAUGCAUCUACCAGAACAUGUACGGAAAAAGAAUUGACAAAUAAGGUGCAUUUUCACGUGAAUUUUAUACAAGUUAAUCCCAACAAUUUUUUUCAAUGUCUCAACAUUGUUGAAUUAUGCUAAAAAAAAAAUAUGUUGGAAAAAUGUAAUUAAA